GUGAAUCAUCAAAUUUUUGAACGCAAAUUGCACUCUCCUCGGAGAGUAUGCCUGUUUGAGGGUCAGCCUAUAAAAAAUCGACAUCGUUGCUGUUUCGCGGUGACAUUCGUCGGAAAUUGGGUCAUCUUAAAUCCUUUUGAUUUAAGCGACUUAAAAUUUUCUUUUUGAUUCCAUGAACGUUUCUAAGAUUUAUUUAUUUGUUUAUUGAAUGGAUCUUUUUUUGAUUUGGCCG
rnacentral:misc_RNA from 1 species